UACGUAGGGUGCAAGCGUUAAUCGGAAUUACUGGGCGUAAAGCGUGCGCAGGCGGUUUUGUAAGUCUGUCGUGAAAGCCCCGGGCUCAACCUGGGAAUGGCAUUGGAAACUGGCGGGCUUGAGUGUGGCAGAGGGGGGUGGAAUUCCGCGUGUAGCAGUGAAAUGCGUAGAGAUGCGGAGGAACACCGAUGGCGAAGGCAGCCCCCUGGGCUGACACUGACGCUCAGGCACGAAAGCGUGGGGAGCAAACAGG
rnacentral:rRNA from 1 species